AGAGUGGCAUGGCUGUCCUCGGAUCCACGUGCGUGCAUGGCGUGUCUCUGCCCCAGAGGAGGCUCUUCCUGCAGCUUCUGGGGCCCUGGGACAGUGGCCUCGGACACCCUCUGAGGGCUUUGGCUUUUCGGAGCCCUGCGUGUCUGGGGGCAGCACUGUUUGCCUGCUGAUCCUUCAGAAUCCCCGGCUGCUCCACAGUGCUCACAGCCGAGAGCAGAGGCUGCCUGGGCUCUGGUUGCGCAGCAGUGGGCGCUCGUCCCCUUCCUGUCCGGGCCCCCCGACAUCACCUCUGGCCUUCUGCACCCUCGCUGUAGAUUGGCUUUCCAACUCCACCCCCCAAAAAGACGGGCCGUAGUGGGGGCUUCCAGGAGCACCAGGCCAGGGGUGCUUUGCCCAGGACCAGAGUGGGGACUAACCGGGCCAGUGGUGAAAAAUAUAAUUAGCCUGUCAGUGUGGAGUCUUCCCUCACUGCUCUGCUCACCGCCGGCCCCUGAGCCAGCCUGUUUCUUAGGACCCCUGACCCAGAAACCUGGUCCAGCAGCCCCCUUACUCAGCGCUCGGCCCGGCCAGGGCCUCAUCUGCUCCCUGCCCUCACAGCAGCCUGAGGCACGGCCGGUCCCUGAGCACCUCUCUCCGCACUCACCGGCCCAGGAAGGCACUGCUGACUCAGGGACUCCGUCCUCCAAGGACCAUGUUUCCUGGCCUUGGACGCAGCUGUGACCAGGCACUCAGGGCCCACUGGGACAGAUGUGCACCGACUUCAUGCAGCUUCCCAAGAUCCCGGCGGCAGAGGGGGAACAAGGAGGGUCCCCUACCCCCUGCAAGCAUCCGGCUUCCUCUGGGUCUGCAGCCUCAUGAACAGGGCUCUCUCCAGCUGGGGGUGCACUCAUCUGUGUUCCCACACCCGGGCCGUGGGCCGCCCCUCCCAGGAUGGUCAUUCACGUCUGAGACCCUGCCCAGCGUGGCGGCUCGGAGACUGCUCUUGCCCUUCGUCCUCUCCAGUGGAACCUACUCUGGCCCUGGACUGGUUCAGGCUGGACAGGGACUGUGAGAGCAACCAGGAAAGGGGCCCUCCUCCUGGAGGGACCCCACCCCUAAGACCACUCUGAGCCCAUUCCGGUCACAUGACCCUUUCCUGGCCUGAGGGGCUUCACUUGGGCCAACACAGGGGGCGGUGGGGAGGCCUGGCCCAGAAGCCCCAGCUCUGGGAACGAGAGGCUUCUGCUGAGCCCCCGGAGCCCUGGGGAACCCCCAGGAGUACCGUGGGACACAGGACCCUGGACCACCGAAAACCUGUACAAUAGUCCAUAUAUUUAUUCUUAAGCAAGUUAUCAAUAAAAAAUUUGAUACUAAAAUGCCUUUACAUAGAGUCUGCUGUUCAUAAAACCUUUGUGUGUUUUUUUGUCCAUUUUGUUUUUAGUGUUUACAUUGAAAAAAAAUCCAACCAUCCCCUUAGUUUACACAUUUACAGGAAUCGUGCCUUCGUCACGUUAACCACGGUGAGAGGGGAGGGGCCGCACCAUUCGCACGCACACAGAAAAAGAAAGGAAAAAACCAGGGACAAAGCGGAACCCAGCAGAAGCGGGACGAGGACGAGGCGGCGGAGCAGAGGAUCCAACCUCCGUGGCUGCACCCUCCUCGGCCCUCUCUGGAACUCCAGUGGCUCAGCAUGCCCCCGUGCAUUUUUCUUCACUUGACAUCGUUCUGAUCCCCGAGCCUCAAGCAGGACCUCGUCCAACCACCUCCCCAGACAACCACCGGGAAUGAAAUAUUGCACUCAUGCGAGACAAAGGGUAGGCUCGGGGGUGGGAGCGGGGGGCUGGAGGCGGGGACCCCCGACCACAACAUAAGCCCCCAGCCUUGAGCCUCCUGGGGAGCCUCUGGGAACGGCCCUUCAGGGGGUCCAGCCAGCAGGUGAGAAACAGGCCCCAAUGGGCCCGAGAAAAAUAGGGGGCCAAGGGGACCUGGGAUUGGGGUACAGGGCACCCACCAGCACCCUGCUUCGAGGCCUGUGGUGUGGGGGACACAGAGCUCGUCCUAGAGCAGUGGCUAACUUGGGGGGCUUUCCUGAAGCUCCCGUGGGGCCAGGGGAACCUUAGUGUGGGAGGAUAUAAGGAGUGUGUGGCCCCCCAUGCGUUUCUGAGGCUGAAGGCUGUUGGGCUCAGGUCCAGGCAGCCUGUCUGUCCUUGGCUGUGGGAGAAGGGGAGGGGUGUGAAUUCCCUGGGGAUACUGGGGCAGAGCCCUCGAGGGGUGCUGCUUGCACCUGGGGCCAGGAUUUGGGCUCAGGUGGUCAGGGGGACCCUCAUUCUAUGCCCCAAGCACUAGCCCAUCAGGCCAUCUGCCCCACCAAGUGGCACAGAAAAGGCCGAGAAACCUCCAAAGGGGUUGGGGCAGGCAGAGGGGUCCGAGGGCCAGGCAGAUUUGGCUGGUGGAAAAGGGGGCCCAGAAAGGGGCCUUCCCCAAGGGCAGGGCCUGCGUUUUAUUUUCUUCUCCCCUGGCCACAGCACUGCUGGCCUGGCCUCACCACCAUCUACGCAGCAGGCCAGGGGUUUGGGGGCACCAAUAAGGUGGGUGGGAAAAGGGGUGUCUUUUGCAUGCAUUCUGCUUGGGGGUGAGGAGAGAAUCUGGUGGGACUGUGAACCUGCCCUCAUAGGCCCCGAGCCCUGCCCAGUUCAGGAACCUGGCCAAACUGCCCCUUCUCACGGCACCUACUACUUUCAGGAAAGUUAGGACCCCAGGGGUGAGGAGGGGCUCAGAGCUGGGCCCUGCUUCCCGAGUGUGCCAGGGCGGCGAGGGUGAGGGGGGCGAGGGGCCAGCCCCUCCCUGCUCUGGGUGGAGGCCAGACUCCUUGGCCUCAGACCAACUGGCCCCGGAAACAGAAAUCAGAUAUAGGUUGGAAUAUGAUUCAGCAGAUACAAUCCAAACAUUGCUUUUUCUUAUCAAUACUUUAAAAUAUUUGUUCGUCUUUGUCUUGUUUUGAACACAGGUGAGAUGCUCACGGCUGUUGUCACACUCCCUGGUCUGGGCUUUGCCUCUUGAAUCCUUUCCCCACGGGCCCCUCAUCACCACCCCCUGCUCCAACACUUCUUUUCUAGGAGAUGCACUGAAAGCAAAUAAACUUGACCGACUUUCAUCUUACACGGUCGUCCCCCCAAGAGAUCAGAGGGUGCCGUCAAGGGUCCCACCUGACCCUCCCGUGGCCUCUGCCCCCUGCCCCGAGAUGCCUCUGUCGUCCCAGGUGCCCCCGUUGGAACCCAGCUGGGCUGAGAACAGUGCAUUUCCAAAGGAAACCCCAGGACAAAAAUCGCCACACACGCGCACACACAUACACGCUCACACACACCUUGUCACGCGGAUGGGGAAAAACCCUUUUCCACUUUUUACCAUAAAAUUUCCCCGCAGAAAUACAAUAUUUACAUAGAGAAAUAAAUAGACAACACACCUGAUUUCUGCUUUCCCUGGUGGGAGACAGUCGGAGGUACUAGGGAAUAUGGCUUGGAUUCAAAUCUCCCGUGAACUGCCGGUGCGGGAAACGGAGGGCGCUGUGGGUGGGGCGGGCCGGGGACCCAUGAGGGCCACAGCCCGACCCUCCGCAGAGGAUGGGACGGGACUGGAUUCCGACACCUGGAGCGCUCUUUCCAGGGAAAACCGUAAGAAAGCCUGGGUCUUGCCCUGUGGGCUUUUGCAUAUUUGCUCAGAUGCGCCCUUGGGAGGCCGGGGCUGCCUCCUGCCCGGUGGCUUGGCCGACGCCAGGCUCCGCACACAGGGUCCCUGGCGCACGUGGGAGGCAUCUGCGGUGGGCGGCUCAGCAUAGGAUGGGCACGCCAUCAGCCGUCACCAGGCGCCCGGUGGUGGGGUCGUAGGUGCCCGCCAGGUAGUAGAGGUCCUGCCGGUCCUGGCACUUGCGGCUCCGGGCCAUCUGCUCAUACUGCUCGCGCGCCACGACCUGGCACUUGUGGGAGAUGGUCUGCACGUCGUUCUCAUCCUCGUGGCAGGACUGGUACAGCGCAUUCUGGG
rnacentral:lncRNA from 1 species